rnacentral:lncRNA from 1 species
UAUGGUGCAUCUUUCUUUUUUGUGGCUCAAUCAUAGGAACUCCAAAGUUUACGUCGUGUGCGGUCCAGAUCCACGUUGUCGGCCGCCAUACCUGUCUCCGUUCGCGAAGCAAAGCAGCGCGACCCUCUGCCUUCCAGUCGCAGCGCGACCCUCUGCCUUCCAGUCGCCGCGUGACCCUUUGCCUUCCAAUCGUGUGUUCCAAGUCGGCCCAUACUCCAAUCUUCCUUGCAAUCUCUUUUGCUUUAGUUUUGUGCGUCGUUGCCUCUACAUUGUUGUAAGUUUG